AUGAGGAACCCCGAGAACUGAAACAUCUCAGUAUCGGGAGGAAAAGAAAACGCAAUGUGAUGUCGUUAGUAACCGCGAGUGAACGCGAUACUGCCCAAACCGAAGGUCUUACGACCAAUGUGGUGUCCGGGCUACCUCUCAUCAGCCGACCGUCUCGACGAAGUCUCUUGGAACAGAGCGUGAUACAGGGUGACAACCCCGUACUCGAGACCAGUACGCUGUGCGGUAGUGCCAGAGUAGCGGGGGUUGGAUAUCCCUCGCGAAUAACGCAGGCAUCGACUGCGAAGGCUAAACACAACCUGAGACCGAUAGUGAACAAGUAGUGUGAACGAACGCUGCAAAGUACCCUCAGAAGGGAGGCGAAAUAGAGCAUGAAAUCAGUUGGCGAUCGAGCGACGGGGCAUACAAGGUCCCCUGACGAAUGACCGAGACGCGAGUCUCCAGUAAGACUCACGGGAAGCCGAUGUUCCGUCGUACGUUUUGAAAAACGAGCCAGGGAGUGUGUCUGUAUGGCAAGUCUAACCGGAGUAUCCGGGGAGGCACAGGGAAACCGACAUGGCCGCAGG
rnacentral:rRNA from 1 species